CAGCCGCCACGGUAAUACGAAGGGUGCAAGCGUUACUCGGAAUUACUGGGCGUAAAGCGUGCGUAGGUGGUGGUUUAAGUCCGUUGUGAAAGCCCUGGGCUCAACCUGGGAAUUGCAGUGGAUACUGGAUCACUAGAGUGUGGUAGAGGAUAGUGGAAUUUCCGGUGUAGCAGUGAAAUGCGUAGAGAUCGGAAGGAACAUCUGUGGCGAAGGCGACUAUCUGGGCCAACACUGACACUGAGGCACGAAAGCGUGGGGAGCAAACAGGAUUAGAUACCCCUGUAGUCCCUGUCUCUUAUAC
rnacentral:rRNA from 1 species